rnacentral:rRNA from 1 species
UACGUAGGGUGCAAGCGUUAAUCGGAAUUACUGGGCGUAAAGCGUGCGCAGGCGGUUAUGUAAGACAGGUGUGAAAUCCCCGGGCUUAACCUGGGAACUGCAUUUGUGACUGCAUAGCUAGAGUACGGUAGAGGGGGAUGGAAUUCCGCGUGUAGCAGUGAAAUGCGUAGAGAUGCGGAGGAACACCGAUGGCGAAGGCAGCCCCCUGGGCUAACACUGACGCUGAGGCACGAAAGCGUGGGGAGCAAACAGG